GGCAGUGGUGGUUUGGUGGUUAAGGCUUUGGAUUACUGAUCGGAAGGUCGGGGUUCAAGCCCCAGCACUGCCA